rnacentral:rRNA from 1 species
CCAGACUCCUACGGGAGGCAGCAGUGGGGAAUAUUGCACAAUGGGCGCAAGCCUGAUGCAGCGACGCCGCGUGGGGGAUGACGGCCUUCGGGUUGUAAACUCCUUUCGCUAGGGACGAAGCGCAAGUGACGGUACCUGGAGAAGAAGCACCGGCUAACUACGUGCCAGCAGCCGCGGUAAUACGUAGGGUGCGAGCGUUGUCCGGAAUUACUGGGCGUAAAGAGCUCGUAGGUGGUUUGUCGCGUCGUUUGUGUAAGCCCGCAGCUUAACUGCGGGACUGCAGGCGAUACGGGCAUAACUUGAGUGCUGUAGGGGAGACUGGAAUUCCUGGUGUAGCGGUGGAAUGCGCAGAUAUCAGGAGGAACACCGAUGGCGAAGGCAGGUCUCUGGGCAGUAACUGACGCUGAGGAGCGAAAGCAUGGGUAGCGAACAGGAUUAGAUACCCUGGUAGUCCAUGCCGUAAACGGUGGGCGCUAGGUGUGAGUCCCUUCCACGGGGUUCGUGCCGUAGCUAACGCAUUAAGCGCCCCGCCUGGGGAGUACGGCCGCAAGGCUAAAACUCAAAGGAAUUGACGGGGGCCCGCACAAG